UACAUGGGGUGCAAACGUUGCUCGGAAUUAUUGGGCGUAAAGCGCACGUAGGCGGUUUGUUAAGUCGGAUGUGAAAUCCCUCGGCUCAACUGAGGAAGUGCAUCCGAAACUGGCAAGCUUGAGUACGAAAGAGGGUCGCGGAAUUCCCGGUGUAGAGGUGAAAUUCGUAGAUAUCGGGAGGAACACCGGUGGCGAAGGCGGCAUCCUGGACCGACAUUGACGCUGAACGGCGAAAGCUAGGGGAGCAAACGGG
rnacentral:rRNA from 1 species